rnacentral:rRNA from 1 species
CCUACGGGUGGCAGCAGUGGGGAAUAUUGCACAAUGGGGGAAACCCUGAUGCAGCAACGCCGCGUGAAGGAAGACGGUUUUCGGAUUGUAAACUUCUGUUCUUAGGGAAGAAUAAUGACGGUAGCUAAUCAGCAAGCCACGGCUAACUACGUUCCAACAGCCGUGGGAAUACGUAGGCGGCAAGCGUUGUCCGGAAUUACUGGGUGUAAAGGGUGCGGAGGCGGGAAAGCAAGUCAGCAGGGAAAACUACGGGGUUAACUUGUAGACUGCAGUUGAAACUGGCGCACUUGAGUGGAAGAGAAGUAUGCGGAAGGCGUGGUGUAGCGGUGAAAUGCAUAGAUAUCACGCAGAACACCGAUUGCGAAGGCAGCAUGCCGGCUUCCGACUGACGCUGAGGCACGAAAGCGUGGGGAUCGAACAGGAUUAGAUACCCGAGUAGUC